ACAACUUUUAACUAAUGGANCUCUUGGCCUUGCAACGAUGAAGAACGCAAGUGAAAUAGCGAAACGUAAUGCGAUCUGCAUAACUCUGUGAGUCAUCGAAUCUUUGAACGCACAUGGCACUCUUCCCUGUGGAGAGUAUACCUGUUUGAGCAUCAUAAACACCUUAUCAACUCGGUCGAGUUGGACGUGGGGCCUCGGUGUGCGUGCAUAGUGUACGAUAUACUGUACGGUAUUGCAGUGCGCACCGUGCCCUUAAACCGAGGACGGUGCAGGAUGCGCCAAAUGUGUGAUAGCGACACUAGUCCCUGGCUGGGCGCCGGUAAUACGGCGACUAGCUGGUCACAUGCGGCGUGUUCUGGAUCGUCACAACAACAUGCGUGCUGUGCACUUGUGCGCGGCCGCUACCAUUAUUCGUGAUCUCAAAUCAGGCAAGACUACCCGCUGAACUUAA
rnacentral:rRNA from 1 species